rnacentral:rRNA from 1 species
AAGUAAAUAAGAGCGUAUGGGGGAUGCCUGUGGCUCUUGGAGGCGAAGAAGGACGUAGUAAGCUGCGAGAAGCCGCGGGGAUCGGCAAACACGAAUUGAUCCGCGGAUAUCCGAAUGGGGCAACCCGGCAGGCAGGAGGCCUGUCACCCAGCAAUGGGGGCUAACCCGCUGAACUGAAACAUCUAAGUAGGCGGAGGAAGAGAAAACAAAAGUGAUUCCCGGAGUAGUGGCGAGCGAAACGGGACGAGCCCAAACCGAGAUUGUUACGGCAAUUUCGGGGUUGUAGGACUGCAAUAUAUUAGUAACGACGAAGUGGAACUGAACUGGAAAGUUUGGCCGCAGAGUGUGAUAGCCACGUACACGUAAGUUAGUUACGAGUUAGCAGUAUCCUGAGUAUGGCGGGACACGAGGAAUCCUGUCAGAAUCGGCCGGGACCACCCGGUAAGGCUAAAUACUCCCAAGAGACCGAUAGUGAACCAGUACCGUGAGGGAAAGGUGAAAAGUACCCCGAACAGGGGAGUGAAAAAGAACCUGAAACCAUGCGCUUACAACCGGUCGGAGCGGCUUAGUGCCGUGACGGCGUGCCUUUUGCAUAAUGAGCCUACGAGUUACUGAUCACUAGCGAGGUUAAGGGCUUUAAAGUCCGAAGCCGAAGCGAAAGCGAGUCUGAAUAGGGCGUGAUAGUUAGUGGUCGUAGACGCGAAACCUUGCGAUCUACCCUUGAGCAGGUUGAAGUCCGGGUAACACCGGAUGGAGGACCGCACCAAUAAACGUUGAAAAGUUUCUGGAUGACUUGAGGGUAGGGGUGAAAGGCUAAUCAAGCUGGGAAAUAGCUCGUACUCCCCGAAAUGCCUUUAGGGGCAGCGUUGUAUUACUCUACUGGAGGUAGAGCUACUGAUUGGAUGCGGGGGCUUCACCGCCUACCAAAUCCUGACAAACUCCGAAUGCCAGUAGAAGGAUGUACAGCAGUGAGCCACCGGGUGCUAAUGUCCGGUGACAAAAGAGGAACAACUCAGACCAUCAGCUAAGGCCCCCAAGAAUACACUAAGUUGAUCUAACGAUGUGCGACUGCAGCGACAGCUAGGAUGUUAGCUUGGAAGCAGCUAUUCAUUUAAAGAGUGCGUAACAGCUCACUAGUCGAGCGGUUGUGCGUGGAUAAUAAACGGGCAUCAAGUGUAUCGCCGAAGCUAUGGACGCAGUGUAAGCUGCGUGGUAGGGGAGCAUUCCAUCGACGUUGAAGCAGUGAGGUGACUCAUUGUGGAGUUUAUGGAAAAGCAAAUGUAGGCAUAAGUAACGAUAAGGCGGGAGAGUAACCCGCCCACCGCAAGACCAAGGUUUCCUGAUCAACGUUAAUCGGAUCAGGGUUAGUCGGGACCUAAGGGUAAGCCAUAAGGUGAGCUCGAUGGACAAUCGGUUAAUAUUCCGAUACCGGUCGAUACUGCGAUGGAGAGACGAAGAAGCGUAAGCUGCGCCGGCGGACGGAAGUGCCGGUUAAAGGAGUUAGGUAUACCUUUGGGGUAAUUCUCAGAGGUGCUGAUCUCUGACAGUACCGAGAGCCUUCGGGCGAUCGGAUAGCCAGCCCAAGCAGACUUCCAAGAAAAACUCCUAAGCAUCAGGUAUCGACAGCCCGUACCGUAAACCGACACAGGUGGUCGAGGAGAGUAUCCUAAGGUGCUCGAGUGAGUCACGGUUAAGGAACUAGGCAAAUUAACCCCGUAACUUCGGGAAAAGGGGUCCCUGAGCAAUCAGGGCGCAGCGAAGAGGUCCAGGCGACUGUUUAACAAAAACACAGGGCUCUGCCAAUACGAAAGUAGACGUAUAGGGCCUGACACCUGCCCGGUGCUGGAAGGUUAAGAGGGGAUGUCAUCGCAAGAGAAGCAUUGAAUCGAAGCCCCAGUAAACGGCGGCCGUAACUAUAACGGUCCUAAGGUAGCGAAAUUCCUUGUCGGGUAAGUUCCGACCUGCACGAAUGGUGUAACGAUCUGGACACUGUCUCAACCGUGAGCUCGGUGAAAUUGUAGUCCCGGUGAAGAUGCCGGGUACCCGCAACGGGACGAAAAGACCCCGUGAACCUUUACUGCAGCUUAACGCUGAAUUUGGGUGCAUAAUGUGUAGGAUAGGCAGGAGACUAUGAAGCAGGGCCGCCAGGUUUUGUGGAGUCGCCGUUGAAAUACUGCCCUUUGUGUAUUUGGAUUCUAACCCCUUGCGGGGGACACCGUUUGGUGGGUAGUUUGACUGGGGUGGUCGCCUCCAAAAGCGUAACGGAGGCUUCCCAAGGUACCCUCAGCACGAAUGGUAACCGUGCGUAGAGUGCAAUAGCAUAAGGGUGCUUGACUGCGAGACCGACAAGUCGACCAGGUGCGAAAGCAGGGUAUAGUGAUCCGGUGGUUCUGUGUGGACUGGCCAUCGCUCAAAGGAUAAAAGGUACUCCGGGGAUAACAGGCUGAUCGCCGCCAAGAGCUCAUAUCGACGCGGCGGUUUGGCACCUCGAUGUCGGCUCGUCACAUCCUGGGGCUGGAGAAGGUCCCAAGGGUUCGGCUGUUCGCCGAUUAAAGUGGCACGCGAGCUGGGUUCAGAACGUCGUGAGACAGUUCGGUCUCUAUCUGUUGCGGGCGUAGGAAAUUUGAGGGGUCCUGACUUUAGUACGAGAGGACCGAGUUGGACGAACCUCUGGUGUAUCGGUUAUGCCGCCAGGUGUAGCGCCGAGUAGCUAUGUUCGGAUUGGAUAAGCGCUGAAAGCAUCUAAGCGCGAAGCCUUCCCCAAGAUAAGAUUUCCCUUGAGGGUCGUGGGAGAUUACCACGUUGAUAGGCCGCAGGUCUAAAGGCAGUGAUGCCAAAGCCGAGCGGUACUAAUUACCCGAUAACUU